rnacentral:lncRNA from 1 species
UAUGGAAGUUCCCAGACUAGGUGUCAAAUCGGAGCUGCAGCUGCUGGCCCACACCACAGCUACAGCAACCCCAGAUCCAAGCCGCAUCUGUGACCUAUGCCACAGCUUGUGGCAGCGAUAGAUCUUUAACCCAGGAUGAGGGAGGCCAGCAAUAGAACCCACAUCCUCAGAGAUGCUAUGUGGGGUUCUUCACCUGCUGAGCCAUAGCAGGAACUCCUAGGUUUUGGUUUUGACCAUAAGCUACCAAGGCAUAGAGCCAACUCAGUCCCAUAGCUUCUUGUUUAACUACUUUAAUAAUUUCCUGACCAACGAUUUGGUAAUACUGCCACUCUCCAUCACCGCUCCAAUUGUCUCAUCAUGAAACUCAUAGGUUAUGACGUCGGGCUGCGGAAGAAUUGGUUUUGCUCUUCGUCUCAUGGUCCACCUAGUUUCUCUUUCUCCAAACCCAGUGAGACCCUCUGAUGUACUGCUGGUGGCUACAAAGGUGAAGUGUAUUUAAAACUCUUGAGAGAGCACACCAGGGAGAGCAGGAAGGUGACUACCAGGAGGAUGGUACUGAGACUAAGGAUGCUCCUUAGCUGGGGCCCCAGGGACCACACCAGUUGGUAACAGAUAAAUCAAAGAAUGCACCUGAAGAGGCGUCAACCUUUUUUUUAGCCUAGGGGCUUGUUUGUUCAUUUGUUUGAGUUUCUACUUUACCAGAGUUGUUGAUCCAAGGAGGGCAGGAGGUCACUGCUAUGGCAUAGACUCUUCUUUGCUCAGCCAGCAAGUAAUCUAAAUGCUCUUUUUCUUCUUCUUUUUUUUUAACAGCUACACCUGGGGCAUAUGAAAGUUUCCUGGGCUGGGGGUCAAAUCAGAGCUGCAGCUUGGAGCAAUGCCAGAUCCUUAACCCACUGAGCAAGGCCAGGGAUUGAACCUGCAUCCUCAUGAGCACUAUGUCAGGUUCUUAACCCACUGUGCCACAGUGGGAACUCCCUGCUACUCAUUAUUCUUCCCCUUUGAAAUUUCUGCAAGACAUCCCAGGUUGAGUUGGUCGAUGGUUCCCUCUUACUUAACCAGUCUCUUCGUCCUGAGAAUAGGUCAGUUCAGUUAGACAGUUGAGUGUCAUUUCAGGAAGACGUGUUGAUGGCGGGUCCCCAAGCACUCAUGUAUUUAAUAAGAGGUCUCUCUAUGGAAACAAAAGAAAAAUAAAGGAUAACGGUAGGAACAGAUUAUAAAUCAGUUUCUGAGACCAGAGCUCAGCCAGUUGAGAAGGUUUCUGGAUACUGGACUCCUAGACAUUGGGCUCAAAGCAUCUGUUGCAGUUUGAAUGUCUUUGUGAUGUCAUCGGGUGUUUGAAUGAACUUCCUGAGUGGCCCAUGUGGCAGCAGGCACAAAGCUUAUCCAUGUGUGACCUGUGGGGGUGGUUUCUCUGAAGUUCAUGUCAAGUCAUCCAGCUCCAGUUUGCAGGGCUUGGUGAAAAAGACAGUUUUUGUUCUCAAUGAUUCCAAGUCAGGAGGGUGGAAGAAAAUUGGAAACAUUUAGUUUGGAGAGUUGUAGCCAGAUAUGGGAGGAAACUAGAAGAAUUCAGGAUCUAGCCCAGUUUACAGGUACAUAACAAAAAUCUCAAGACAAUGACCAUGACUAGAAUCUGAUCUCCACCAGGGUGUGUUAGAGUUUUCUACAGAAACAUAAUUUUUCUCUGUAUAAUUACCCCAGUAAUCACAGUGAGAUGAAUUUAUUUGCAAAAAUAAGUCUAGUCUCAUUAGAAUUGGCCUGAUUAUUUAUAGAAGAGCAGCAAGAGUAGCGAUUGUAUGUUUGUUCUUAAAUAGGAUGUUCCAUUUAAGCUUCGUGAUACCUAGGGGCUUUAUUGGCUCCAUAAAGUCAACCCUAGUUUAUUAAAUUUUUGAAAGUCUCUUUAGUCUCAGAAGCCAAGUCAAGGACUCAUUCAGUCGUGUCCUUUUAUAGUCUUUGCAAAUACCUACAUUGUAAAGAUGAAAAUAUUCAAUAAGAGUUUCUGAAUUCUGGAGUGAUCAGGUAGAGAGAAAAAGAUAAAUAUAUUCUGUUUUUGUUUACAAAGUAUACUUUACCAAAUUGCUGUAAUAUAGAUAACGUAAAAGAAAGGAGAAAGAGGGCUCUUUUCUACGGCCACACCUGCAGCAUAUGGAUGCUUCCAGACCAGGGACUUUACCGGAGCCACAGCUGUGACCUAUGACCUAUGCUGUGGCUGUGGCAAUGCCAAGUCAAGAGGGUUCUUUACAUCUGGAAAACAACUGAAAAUCAGCAAUGUUUCAAAGUCAUAGAAUUUAUAGUUAUCCUCAUCAGUUCAUUUAGCCUCAUGUAAUUAAUUCUUUUUUUCUUUUCCAUUGCGGUUUAUUACAUGACUUUAAAUAUAGUUCCCUGUGCUUUACAGUAGGACCUUGUUGUUUAUCCAUUCUAUAUGUAAUAUUUUGCAUCUUCUAAUCCCAAACUCCCAAUCCAUCCCUCCUCCAUCCCCUCACCUCCUUGGCAACCACAAGUCCAUUCUCUGUAUCUGUGAGUCUGUUUUUGUUUCAUAGAUAAGUUCAUUGUGUCACAUUUUAGAUUCCACAUAUAAGAGAUAUCAUACAAUAUUUAUCUUCUUCUUUCUGACUUGCACUUAGCACUGAAACCGGCAGAAUGUAUUUUGAGACAGUAAAGUGUAGGUUCUACUGUCUUGGCACAGAAGGAAUUCAGCGAGAGGCAGAGUGACAGGUAAGGAAAAAGUUCAUUAGUAUAGGAUGCUUGUGAGAGAUACAGGCAGGCAAGAGAAGGAGUGCCACCCUGAGAACUAAGUGGGGUACAGUUUUAUACUUGAAGGAAAAGUGGGGAGGGGGAGAAGACCACCAUCUUCCUCAUUCUGGAGUAGAUGUCAAGCUUCCAUCCUCAGCGUCUCCUCUGUGUUGGGCAGGGGGGUUUUCUCGUCCCUACGUGUGGUCAAACUGGGACCGUCAUGGCGCAAUGGAAAUGAGCAAAAAGGCAGUAACUUAUAGUAAAAUAUGAUAAUCAUCUCAGGUUUCAGGAUAAUGUCACUUUCCCCUAUAUUUUUGUGUUUAGUGUGUGUGGCGAAACAUAUCCUAGGGAAUCAUUAACUUACUGAUCUUACUGGGCAGGAUGUGAGUUUUUUGGUUUUUGUUUUUGUUUUUGUUUUUUGGUCUUUUUAGGGCCACACCCUCAGUAUAUGGAGGUUCCCAGGCUAGGGGUGGAAUUGGAGCUCUAGCUGCCAGCCUACAUCAUGGCCACAGCAGCGUGGGAUCCAAGCCAUGUCACAACCUACACCUCGCUCCUUAACCUACUGAGGCCAGGGAUCAAACCCACAUCCUCAUGGAUACUAAUUGGGUUCAUUAACCACUGAAUGAUGACAGGAACUCCCUCAUUCCACCAUUGUUUUAUUGUUUGGAAGCGUUUCUCAUGCUUCUGUUGCAUGGUUUUGCCGCUAAGCAAGGCUUGCUUGGUUUUAUUGUUAAGCUGGUCUGCUUUUUGAGUGAUCAUUAACUUACAGGGUAGCCCAUACUUUUUUUUUUCCUACUCAUAAGCUCCUAGUGGGAUUAACUAUUUAGUCAACUGCUCUGGCCCUUUUCUCUGUCUCUAUCCCAUAUGAUAAUCUCUAUUCAUCUAUGUUGCUGCAGAUGGCAUUAUUUCAUUCUUAAGCCUUAGAAACUUUAAUAUCACUAAGAAAUGAGCAAUUGUGGGCUGUUGGUUCAAUCCCUGGCCUCUCUCAGUGGGUUAAGGAUCCAGUGGUUCCAUGAGCUUUGGUGUAGGUGGCAAACAAGGCUUGGAUCCUGCAUUGCUGUGGCUGUUGUGUAGACCAGCAGCUGCAGCUCUGAUUCGACCCUAACCUGGGAACUUCCAUAUGCUGGAGGUGUGGCUCUAAAAAGC